CCUGAGUUUAGUGUUGCAUGAUAUACUGUCCUCUGUCUCUAUUCUCUUCUUGCUUCAUUUUUUUCUUUUUUCUUUUUCUUUUUUUUUUUUAUAAAAUGUUUUGAUCAUAUUUUCUUUUCCUUUGUCAUGUUUUUGUUAGGUAAGGAAGAGAGACUCAAACUUUUAGUCUGUUUAUUAAGGUCCAAACUUACUCAGAAUGGGUAAUAGAUGGAGAGUAUGAUUGGCCUCCUAAAUGCUGCCUAUGUCAUCCUGCGAUUGAAGAGGGGACCAAUCCUCAAACUAUUUGAUUUGGUUGCUUGCGUGCAAGAGAAGAAAGUGAAGAAAAUUUCUGACAUGAACAUUGACUGGUGU